rnacentral:RNase_P_RNA from 1 species
UCCCUCGGCCGGACGGUCGCGACGUGGUGGCAGGAUUACUGCAUCGAGGAAAGUCCGGGCUCCAUGGACAAGUUGCCAGGUAACGCCUGGGCACCUCGUGAGAGGUGACGGAUAGUGCCACAGAGAAUGAGACCGCCUUCGGAAACGGAGGUAAGGGUGAAAAGGUGGGGUAAGAGCCCACCGCGUUCGUGGCAACACGGACGGCACGGUAAACCCCAGCUGGAGCAAGGCCGAAUAGGCGGUGAGCAGCAGUCCUCUGCGAUCAAGACACCGCGGGUAGGCCGCUAGAGGGUACGGGCGACCGUACUCCGAGAGAAAUGACCGUCCGGAGUCGCAAGGCUCUGACAAAACCCGGCUUAUAGGCCGAGGGAUUCC